GCCGGGAUAGCUCAGUCGGUAGAGCAUCAGACUUUUAAUCUGAGGGUCCAGGGUUCGAGUCCCUGUUCUGGCG
rnacentral:tRNA from 1 species